GUGUUAUGGAAUAGAUGGGAACACAAAAAGGAAAAGGGGUUGCACUGAGACAGGAAGGCCAACACGGAUAAUUUAUUAACAUCAUUAUUAUCUGCUCGAGGACAGAGGCAGACCCAUAUGGAUUGAACAAGGUCAGAACUAAAGACACGCACCUCACCUCACUUCAAUUGCUAAUCUGCCAAACACCCAUCCCUUCCCCCCACUUUCUCAAUCCGGAAUCACCCAUUACUAAUUUAAUUAUUAAUUAUUACUGUUAAUUACCAAUGUAACUCUUUUUUUUAUUUCCAUUUUCUAUCUUCCUUCUUUUCAGGCUAUAGCCUUUACAAUAAUUUAAAUCUCUUGGAUUGUUUUGUAAAUUGAAGAUUUCUGUCUUCAAUGAAAUACAUUUUUAUUUUAUUAUUGUUUAUCUUUUCUUCUUUUCAGUUUUCUAUCCGAUUUUGAUAUCCUCCACCAUCCAACACCCUCUCUUCUCUCCCCUUUUCUCACUGUUCUUGCCUUUCUUCGUUUUCUACCAGGAGGAAAGGGAACAUUAAAUCGAAUAAAAAGCACCCUUGUAUCCAACAUGGUCGCUUUCUUUCUCUAUUUAUUUUGACCCACUCAUACUUGAUUAUCCAAUUAGAUCGGCCGUUUUCCGUUUCAUCUGGGGGUGCGCGAAUUUCUGGGACUAAUCCAUUGCCAAUGCUGCAUUAGGGGAAUUUGUACUACAAGAUUCUUACUGGUUAUCAAGGAUUGGGUAGUGGUGCAUACCUGUUCUGUACGCCAAUUGAGAAGGUUAGGGCAUAAGAUUAAGAAGCACCUACACAUUGGCUUCUUAGUUACACAUUGACUUUAUUAAUAGAUGACCUCCCCGUGUUGAGCGCUGCUAAGUUUAGUGCCUGGCUUAUUGGUGGUUUAUUGAGGGAUUAAUUUCAUAUAUUUAAUUAAUAAGUGCGGGAAAUCAAUAGAUUCCUUCAAUGCAAGGGCAGAGAGGUACAGUUGGUCCAAUGCCAGAAGCCUUAGAAUUUGAUUGUGGCUCUACGCCAGGUAAUUCGACUGUGGAUCAGCAGAUUUGCUGGAAUAAUGUGAAUCCUGCAGAAAAUCAAAUACCUGAUUAUAUACUUUCUCCUGGUAAUAUGAACUCACCUUAUGUGAAUUCCAUUGAUCAUGAAUGGCAAAAUUUGAGUGGAUGGAGCUUAGGGGAGCCAAGU